CUUCCCUUGGCGCAUUUAGCGAUGCCAGUGUGAUCACUGGCUCGUGCCUCGGGUGCUCUUACUUCUUUGACAUAGUUGAUGUAGGGGUGGAAGACACGACAGAGAGAGCUCUUGCCUUGCUUUAGGUUAUGACGACUAAAGUGCCACCACUUGCGGCAAUGAUGUUCUUGUUCUUCGUGUUGGUUGCGGGAACAACUUGUUCUUUUCUUGAUGCCAUGUGUGUUUCUUGUGGAUUUGAAAAUAGAGAUGAGAGGCAUAGAGGUCCCACUAGGCAUGCCAAAAUUGUAAACACGAAAAUUCCUGUAACGAAUUAAACGAGAACACGUGUACAAAGUAGAUCUGUAUUGAUGAAUUUGUAGGGUUACAAUCUCUGUUUACAAGUUUCCUCUUAUUCAGACUUCAAAUUGGAUGUAGAUGUGUAGGUUGUUAAUCCAAGGGUUGAGAUGACUUGAUCUCGAAAGAACAAUUGAACGGUUGCUUCAAGUUUUGAGAUUGAAACAAUACAUGGAUAAUCUUCACCUCUAGGUUUGUGUAUGACCUACGACAAAAGUGAUGUUGUUGUGGGAUUUUGUUGAUUCAAGGAUCUUAAUGACUUGAUCUUGAAUUGAACGUCGUUACAAGUUUUGAGCUUGUAACAAAGUCUUGAAAGAAUCGGCACAAGUGCUUGUAGAUUCUUCAAGGGAAUGUUUCGGCUUUGGUUG
rnacentral:lncRNA from 1 species